CACGGCAAAGAAAAAUGCUUUCUAUUUAUUUCCAAGCUUGUCCAAAUUAAUAUUUAUUAUUGCUUAUUAUCAAAUUAUUAAUUGUUGAAUAACUAAUAUUAUUAGUUCAAUCUAACUUAUACAGUAUAAUCAUUCUCUAUGCAUAAAAUUCAUUUUUAUAUUCUACUCUGGUAAUAUAAAUUUCCUAUUUUUGACACCAAUAUUGAGAUUACCAGUAAUGUGAUUAGUCAGUGUUUGUUGUCUGUUCUGUGUUCUGUGUGAACCACCGAUUACGAAAGAGGAAUAAUUGAGAUAAAAAUUUGCUGUAAGUGUGAUUCCCAUUUCGAUAAGUCUCUAAUCAACUUAGAUUCUGAUGCUGCUAAUCUUCAUUCGCAUCGUCUCUUGAUGAAAUAAUACAAAAAUGAAAUAAUGACAGCCUCGUACACGUGGUACAUGAAUUAAUUCCUAUACAUCAGCCCCCUCCAUAACACACAUCACGUUCAAACACAGAAUGACGUCAGGAUUUAUAUCAAUUGAGUAGCUCUGCGUUGCCAGUAGAAAGGCGUUCAUCUCUGUCCUAUCUGUUGAGUUCUCAGUUGGCGGCUGUGGUAUCGCGAUCGCGUCGGUUCGGUCUGGCAGUUUUAUCUUCGACAUGCCAGCAGUUUCAUUCAACUCGUCAACCGCAGCACAAGGAAUGCUGUGCACUGUUUUUCUAUUCUGAGAAAUUGUUCAGGAGCACAGAUGGCGAACUUCAAGUGAUAACCAGUUUUCAAAAAAGACAAUUCAGCGACUGAACAACGUUCGCUGUUUUCGGGGGUUUACGAAUGAGGUAGUAGUGUUUUCAAGUUGUGCGGUGUUAAGGAUUUGCGUGAGUGUUUACUAUCGAGACUUGUGGUAUCGUGGCAGAUCACAUUUUUAAUAAUUUUCAAAACUAGAGACGCGCGUAGUUUUAAAUUCACCGGGCGUGUUAUUGCCUGUUGCCCUCAGCAGAUAAGGUGCUGAUAAUAAAAGUUACUGUAUUACUUUCCAAAACAAAGUAAACUACUCCUUCGUUAAUUUACACCAGUUUGCCAAAGCCCACAAUGGACUACAUGGAGGAGAAUAACGAUGGAGACAAGCAGAGCAAACAGAUAAACAGCCAGCAGCAACAGCAGCAGCAGAGACCACCAACAGAAACGACCAAUCUGGCGCGCUAUGGCCCCUCGCGUCAGACCUACUUCAAGGAGGCGCGCGUCUCUAUACCCGACACCGAAUCGACUGGGUUCAGCUUUAAGAAGCUAUGGGCAUUUACGGGUCCUGGCUUCCUUAUGAGCAUAGCCUACCUUGAUCCAGGAAACAUAGAAUCUGAUCUUCAGUCCGGUACGCAAGCUAAGUAUAAGUUGCUAUGGGUGUUGCUGGGCUCGACGAUUCUCGGACUGAUAAUGCAGCGACUGGCGGCCCGACUGGGCGUGGUGACAGGCCUGCACCUGGCCGAGAUGUGCUACCGUCAGUACCGCAAGUGGCCACGCCUCUUCCUCUGGAUCAUGAUGGAGAUCGCCAUCAUUGGAUCGGACAUGCAGGAGGUCAUCGGCACGGCCAUCUCGCUCUACCUGCUCUCUAAUAAACUCAUUCCAUUGUGGGCCGGCGUACUUAUAACCGUAAUAGAUACAUUUUCGUUUUUAAUGCUCGACAAGUAUGGAUUGCGAAAACUCGAGUUCCUAUUUGCAAUCCUUAUAGCUGUGAUGGCUGUCACAUUUGGAUACGAGUUCAUCGUCGUAAAACCGGACGGCUUGGAGAUAAUGAAGGGUCUUGUCUAUCCAAGAUGUGACAGCACAAUUUUACUGCAGGCUGUGGGAAUAGUUGGAGCAGUUAUAAUGCCUCACAACCUCUACCUCCAUUCUGGAUUAGUAAAGUCAAGAGAAAUCCAGAGGUCGAAGCCAGAGAAAGUAAGAGAAGCCAAUAUGUACUUCUUUAUCGAAGCGUCAAUAGCGCUGGCUGUUUCUCUGGUCAUCAAUGUGUUUGUUGUAUCUGUGUUUGCACAUGGUCUCUAUGGCAAAACUAAUGCUGAUGUGAGGCAAGUUUGUUUAGCGAACCACAACGAGUACUUUGAUAGUUUCAAGAACAAUACAGAGCCUGCUAGUGUGAAUAUCUACAAGGGAGGUAUAUUUCUGGGCUGUCAGUUUGGUAUUCUGGCCAUGUACAUAUGGGCUGUCGGAAUUCUAGCCGCUGGGCAGAGUAGCACCAUGACUGGAUGCUAUGCUGGACAGUUCGCUAUGGAGGGCUUCCUGAAUCUAACAUGGAGCAGAUGGAAGCGAGUACUGUUUACGCGUAUGGUGGCCAUUCUGCCCACCUUCUACAUUGCUUUCUUCUCGAGGAUUGAGGAUCUCAGCGACAUGAACGACUUCCUGAACGCCGUCAUGAGUCUGCAACUGCCGUUCGCUACCAUACCAACCAUUGCUUUCACCAGUAAUCCUCAUAUCAUGGGCGAAUUCGUCAAUGGCCUAUGUAGCAAAGUGACAGCGGUGUGCAUCUCGGCCAUCGUGAUUGCGAUCGACAUCUACUUCGUGGCUGACUCGAUCAGUCAUCUGAGUGAGAACUGGCUGAUUGUCACAUUAAUCGGCAUCUACAGCGUCAUCUACCUGCUCAUGUGUAUCUACCUCACCAUACACAUGACUGUCAGUAUGAGCUCCAGUGAGAGGUUCAGCAAUAACCAUCUUAUCACAAAGUACAUCAGUGUCGAUCCACUAGUCGACUACCAUCUCGACCAAGACAAUGUAUCGAAUUCAAGCCUUGAUGAUCCGAAUCUGUCCAUAUAAGGUGGUGAGAAAAUGGCGUUGGUGGUUGGUGAUGGUGGAGCAUUUAUUGCUAUUUCUAAAUAAAGAAACAAUUAGCUCGCUUUCACAGGUAUACGUCAACGUUCAGUAUAAUUGACCCGGAUCGAAUAAAAUCGUGAUUUGUGAUAACCACAAAAGUCAAUUGGUGUCAUGAGGCCAAAUAGCAACCAAUUGAGUGGAAAAUAUGAACUUUUCCUGGAACGUCAUGAUCGUCGUCGUCUGAGAGACAGUGGUAUUGUGAAAUUGCAUAGACAUGUUCAUUUGUAAAAUCUCCAAAACAGAGUAUUUUUUAUAAUAAAAAAUGUGCAUAGUCAACAACUACCUGUGAUUAUUAGGCUUAGUUUGUUGGUGUUUAAAAACACUGACGUUUUACUGUAAAAAAUCUAUUUGUUGAUAUAAUAUUAGUAAGGAUAAAUUAAUAAUAUUAUUGUGAAAUUAUACGAGUAUAAUUUUGAGCUGAA